UAGGGAAUCUUUGGCAAUGGACGAAAGUCUGACCGAGCAACGCCGCGUGAGUGAAGAAGGCUUUCGGAUCGUAAAACUCUGUUGUUAGAGAAGAACAAGGACGUUAGUAACUGAACGUCCCUUGACGGUAUCUAACCAGAAAGCCACGGCUAACUACGUGCCAGCAGCCGCGGUAAUACGUAGGUGGCAAGCGUUGUCCGGAUUUAUUGGGCGUAAAGCGAGCGCAGGCGGUUUCUUAAGUCUGAAGUGAAAGCCCCCGACUCAACCGGGGAGGGUCAUUGGAAACUGGGAGGAUUGAGUGCAGAAGAGGAGAGUGGAAUUCCGUGUGUAGCGGUGAAAUGCGUAGAUAUAUGGAGGAACACCGGUAGCGAAGGCGGCUCUCUGGUCUGUAACUGACGCUGAGGCACGAGAGCGUGGGGAGCAAACAGG
rnacentral:rRNA from 1 species